rnacentral:rRNA from 1 species
CCUACGGGUGGCAGCAGUGAGGAAUAUUGGUCAAUGGCCGGAAGGCUGAACCAGCCAAGCCGCGUGAAGGACGAAGGUGCCAAGCAUUGUAAACUUCUUUUGUCAAGGGACAAAAUCAGGCUCGAGAGCCUGACCGAGGGUACUUGAAGAAAAAGCAUCGGCUAACUCCGUGCCCCCAGCCGCGGUAAUACGGGGGCUGCGAGCGUUAUCCGGUUUUCUUGGGUUUAAAGGGUGCGUAGGCGGACUGUUAAGUCAGCGGUAAAAGCCCGGGGCUCAACCCGGACGAGCCGUUGAAACUGGCGGUCUUGAGAUGUCGAGAGGUAUGCGGAAUGCGCAGUGUAGCGGUGAAAUGCUUAGAUAUUGCGAAGAACUCCGAUUGCGAAGGCAGCAUACCGGCGGUGAUCUGACGCUGAGGCACGAAAGCGUGGGUAUCGAACAGGAUUAGAGACCCGUGUAGUC